GCAAUCCUCCCACUUCAGCCUCCCAAGCAGCUGGGACUGCAGGCAUCCGCCACCAUGCCUGGCUGAGUUUAUCCAUUUUCUCCUCCUCCAGCCCCCAUCUGCUGCUGCCACUUGAAAGACUAUAUAAUGUUAACAGCAUGGGCUCUAGUGACUGCCAGCUUAGGUUGGAAUCCUGGCUUUGCCCUUGACGAGCUGUGUGACCCUGGGCAAAUUAUGUAGCCCCUCUGUGCCUUAGUUUCUACCCUUGUAAAAACAAUAAUAAUGUUAUUAUUUUCAUUAACUAACCUCUAGCCUACCUUGUGGAGGUGCUUGUGAUGAUUAAAUGGGUUAAUAUUUAUAAAGUACUUAGAAUAGUGCCUAAAGCAGAGCAGGCACUGAAUAAAUGCCAGCUAUUAUUUCUACUACCUUCACUCCUACUGGCCAUGGGGACACCUCUGGUGGUCCUGCCAUAAGUUGCCAAAGCAAUGGGGGUUUAUUACAAGGUAAGGGACAAUGCCCUCUUUGUAAUAUGACAUCAAAGGCAGGUACAGCUUAUGUCCAGUGUUUUCUGAAAUUACCACUGUGAUGGUUAAUUUUAGGUGCCAACUUGACUGGAUUAAGGAAUAGAGAACUGGUGAAGCACUGUUUCUGGGUGUGUCUGCCAGGGUUUCCACAGGAGACUGCCCUCCCUUCUUAUACCAUCCUCCAAAGGACUGAGAUGAGCUAUGAGUCCAUGGGCACCCAGGCUAGAAGGCAAGUGAGUGACCGACACCAUCUACCCUCCCUCCCUCAGGGUUUUGUUACGGGCUCAGCUGGGUCCAGUCUGGCUCCAGCUCCCUUAGGAUGAGUUCUGCCCAGGAGACUCUUUCCUUCCUCACCUAGAUAGACUUCUUUGAAUCCCCCUCUUCCCAGUGCUUCCAAAGGGGGAAUUUAAAUCUGAUUCUUUAAAAAUAAUGAAACACCAGCUGUAUCAUUAAAUUAUUUCUAAG
rnacentral:lncRNA from 1 species